GAAAACAGAAGUUGUUGGUAACAGAAGUAGCAGUGGCGUAAAGAGAAGAGAUCCGACAAUAUGUUGCUUCACAGUGUACUCAUAGCUAUCUAGUCUUUGUCGAAGAGGAUUACACUUACGACCCCUGCCAAAAUAAUUCAGCAACUGUAUGAAGAACUUGAAGCAAAGAAACAUCAAAAUCACAGAGACAACUAAAUCUCAAGACAUUUUCCUGUUUUCUACCAAAAAAAAAAAAAAUAUCAAGCACCCAUUAAUUAUGUAAAAGAAGGGCCUAGUCAUACGAGUAGGUUUCAUUUGUAAUUGCAACCUAUAAUGCAGUAAAGUUGAAAUAUGCCCGUCCCACAAAAACAAACAGUCACCAGCCAACCUCUUUCAGAAAUAAUACUACUUCAAAGUACAUAAUAACAAUUUAUGUGAUCAAUAGAUAUGAAGCACUCAUUAGAUCAUGUAAAAAGAAGGGCCUAGUCUUAAUAGUAGGUUUCAUCUGUAAUUGCAACUUGCAAGUGAGAAUCUUAAUGAUUUUAAUCAGAAAAAGUUUUAGUUCAGGCUAACCUGAACAAGCGCCACAAAGCUGCUAAUGCCUGUAUCUGCUGAGAGUACAAAAGUGAUAUCAUCCAAUGGAGGGUUGAAACAUGCAACGUCACUACCACAAUCAUGUCUCUAACCAAGGCAGCAGGUACAGUCAUCCCAAAAAGAAUUCCUAAUAUAGCAAGUCCUUUCACCAAAUAAACCAAGAGGGAAUCAACAAAGAACCAGAGUGUAGACCAUAUUUGGAUGGCAUUAAGGGAAAUCAUGCCAAGAACUCCAGCCAACUCGGUAUUCAACUUGAAACCUGCUGGCACUCCCAUCAACCAUACACAACCUGUACGCAACAGCUCAUUUGUAGUAUCAUUGGCAAAGUCCGAAACCCAUAAGCAGACUGAUUCCGCAUUAAACAACAGUGAGAAACCAAUCAAGUUUCCCAAAAGCAAAUCGACAGCUAAGCUUGACCACAUGGAGUGCUUAUGUAAUGCAGCUUUCUCAGCAUAUUCAACACAUGACUGAGACCUUACAAAAAAUAAAAAAUAAAAUAAAAUAAAUUAUGCUACAAGAAAUAAAAGGGCCUGUUCCAGAAAAUGAAGACAACAAUAGAUCAAAUGUAAUACACUUAAGAUCAUGGUAUCCAGUCCAUCUAGGUUGGACCAAAUAGGCUAACAAUUCAACUGGUUAACCAUGAGCUUUCCGAAUAAGAAAAACAGAGAAAUAAAUUUUAUUUUUUUCUUUUUCUUGGUAGGAAUUACAAGCUCCUUUUGUAAAUGAGAGAAUAGAGAAAUAAACAACAUUUUAAAUGAUUCUAAAUUAAAUAAUCAAAGUAUAUAAUUUCAUUUUCUACCACAAAGGAAAACCUCAUAAAUAAAAAAACUCCAAUAUAUGUUACCGAGAGCCUCUUGUCACCUGGAGUCAUUGUCCUGAAGAAGGAUAGGCCAAAACAAGAUCUGACCACAACGAAUUUGGAUAUUUAUCCAAGCAGUGUUGAAUAAACUUUUUGAUGUAGUGUAUAUCCACGAUUGUGAUCCAAAACCCAGAAGGCUAUGAAGAAACUGAAGAAAAAUAUAGAAUAUAGUGGACAACGAAGCCAUAGACACAGCCAAUAACUGCCACACCAGAGCAAUAAGCCUAAAAACAACACAUGCCAUUAGAAAGUGCACAGGAAACUAGGAUAGUGUAAUCACCAAAGACUAGAGAAAUACAUGCAAAUAAUAGAAAACUUAGUGAAAGGCCUGCUGGAGCCAACAUGUCUCUCAAAGACCAUUUUGGAAGCAGUGGCACUAUUCAUUGCUAGAAUCACUGCAUCCUGAAUUGAGGAAGACAAAAAUACAAAUUUUCAGUCACUAAAGAAUUUUUGAAACAUGGUAUAUAGCACAAAGGGCAAUCUUGCAAACUACUUUACCAAGUCAUUGAGAGGUUGCUUCUGGUGAAGUUCAUCAAUCCACUUGGGUUCCUUGAGAGGAAUUUUCACCUUUUUGAAAGAAUUCCAACAACUCAAGGAGAAAUGGCGUGCACCAUAUGUGGGAGUUUCAUAAAGUAUCACCUAAAAUUUUCAAACAGAAAGGAGAUUUACCACAACUGAAAAAAACAACUUAAACAUAUAUCAAGCAGUAAAGUAAUCAUGACUUAUCUUUAAAAAUUGAAAAAAAAAAAGGGUAAUCAUGACUUACAUACGUGGACAUCGCACUGAGACACCAAUCGCCCGUUCCAGUGAAUGUGAUGCAAUUUGGGAAUACAGUGAAUAUUUCUACCAUGAAUUUCAUAAGGAUCAUAUGCCAUCUCAAUCCAGUGAUUGCUUCCAGUAGCAGCUUGCGUAUGUUUCUCUAGUAAGCCAUCAAGUUUGUGGCACCCACAAUAGUAUCUUCUAUUUCUCUUUCUUAGCAUACCCUCACUGUUUAGUGCACAAGCAAUAUGACAAGUAGAAUACUUUUUUUUAUCAUUAUCUCCCACUCCAAUCCCGAACAACUGAUCAUUAUCGCUGGGACAUGCGGCACACUGACCAAGCAAAGAAAACAUUGACUUAUCCUGUAAAGUUAUAGACAUGCUCCUGUUUGUAUCGCAGAGGAUUUCCUGAUAACAAGAAAUAGUGCACACUGUAAGAUAUAAUCUAGAACUAAAAUCCUUCAUAUAUCCACUUCAAAUGCACGAAAAUAUGCUUCAUUAACUCCAUAAAGCCUUUAACACACAAAAAAUCAGAGCAACCUCCAUUGCAGCUUCAUUACCCCUCCGGACAGACCAAUAUCCAUCAAAAGAGUUUAGCGUAAUCAAACCUCAUCACAACAUCUCCCCAAACUCAAUAACGUGUUACUAAGAAAACAAUAUGAAAGUAAUACAGUGAGAAACAGGAAUAUAAGAAAAUAAUCUGAAAACAUCAAUAGCUCUAAUCCAAUUAAAUCUCUAUGAUACCAUUUCUCCUAGCUCUAACUGAACAUAGUAUACUCACCAAUGUAUCAUAAUAUCAGAGUUCUACAAGUUUCAAAGUGAACAUUGUAUACUCAUCAAUGCUUCAUAAUAUAACGUUACAACAUUGUCCAAUGUUGUUGAACAAACCACUGUCAAAAUCAUCUAAACUUGAUAUGUACUGUGAGAGUUACACAAUUAAAAGAAAUGCAACUAAAAUACUUGGUGCUUGGAGAAUUAGAUGUUCUUUACAAACUUCUAAUUGCCAAAAAAGAUUAAAACAAUUAUUCUUUAUACCUUAAGACUGUAUUGGCAGCCAGAGAAAGAGGAUUCAUCACAAGCGAAUGCCACAACAAUGUCGAGAGAUGCCGAUGCGCAAGAGACGAACCAGCCAAACAAGAAAGUGUACGAUGAAGAAGGCUCAGUUGAUGACAGGUGCUUCGGCCACCAAAUUCUACAUUGUUUUCUCAUUUUUCACCUCAUGAUCAUCUCAUAGAAUCAACUAAUUAUUCGAUCAUCAAUCACUCUCCUAUCCACAAAAGCCAGCACACUAGAUUAAAUUAAAUUAAAUUAUCCGUUAUUUACAAUAUUAUGCAACGUAGGGUAAUAGAUCCAAAACUUUAUUGUUUUCUCCCCGAAAUUUCUCGAGAAACAAAAACAGGAUUGUGAUUAGAAUAAAUUAGCCGUAGUUAAUUAGAUAAUUAAAGUCCAUUGUUAGAAAUAAAGAGAUAAUAAAUAAGUAUACAAAGAAUUAUCAAUCGUAAAAUUUGGACACGGGUAAACAGGUAGAAAGAGAGAGCUCUUACAAGCUGAAGAAAUCGGUGCCAUUACUUCUGGAUUAUUCAGCCAAGAGCGAAAGAAAGCAAAAGGAAAAAUCUGAGACAAAGUGGUGAGUGUUAGCUCGACUCCAUAUCUCUGUACCUCUGUCUGCCAAAUCUCAAAAAUAAAAUUAAUAUAAGAUGAUGGGCUGUGGCAUUUACAGGGGUGGGCGUUUUGGUUUUCGGUUCGCUUUUUACGGAUUUCGGUUCGGUUUACAAUCCGUUCGGGUUUGAUAAUUCAACCCAAACGGUUUGAAAAGCUACUAUGGUUCUGUACGGUUCCGUUUUAAAUUCGGUUUGGGAUCGAUUCGAUUUGAAAUUCGGUUCGGCUUCAGGUUCGGAUUUUCGAUUUCAAUUCCGGUUUAGAUCGUAAGAGGUCGAAUUGUAUUCAUUUUACAUAAAUACAGAAUAUAACACCUAAAACAGCUUUAAUCACACUAUAAAAAUGAAUACAAAUAUAUUCAAUUCAACAACCUUGCAAAGUAUAUGUCAAAAUAUGAGAUUUUCAAUUAUAUUUUAUUCAUAAUCCUCAAUCUUAAACUCAAAUUUGAGAGCAACAUGAAUAUGCAAAAUUUAGAAAGCCAAAUCUCAAAAAGAAGGCAAAAAAAAAAAAACAACUGAUUAGCUAAAAACACUACCAUCACAAGAAUUACAUAAGUAUAAAAUAAAAAAACCUCAUAAAUUUUUCUUUUUUACCGGCAAGAUCAAGUCAACCAUAUGUCUUAAGCCCAAAAUGCUACAAUAAGAAGACUCUCAACCAACAAAGAUACAAAUUUUACACACCCAAAAUAUUCUACAGCAAACUAAGAAUCAGGAAUCAAAAGAAAAAGAAACAAACCCAGAAGAAAGAAAGCCAAGAGAAGCAAGAACGGAAGAAAUAAAAAGGACAAGCCUUUAAAACCGAACCGAACAGUAAACCCGAUCGGGUUAUAUUAGGGGAAAACAAACCUAAAUUACUAGAAACCAAACCCCGUCCCCCUCAAAAUUAAGCGAAGCCUCAUCUCUCUUUGCAAGUAUUCUGCAUUUAGGAAGAUGCUUUCGAUUUUGGGCUUAGAAAAGCCCGGCCCAUAAGCCUCAUCAGUAUUCGUUACUCAAUCAUAAUGUUCCACGUGGACUUCAUCGCUUCCUCUGAAUCAAAAACAAGAGAAGCUGCCUCAUUUCGUCCUUGAAUUGAAUUGAACACGUACAUCAUCAAGUAUUGAUGGCUUUAGCGUACAAUCAUUACUCCAAUCUUGUUCUUUUCAAACAAUCAAACGAAGUAAAAUUCAAGUGUUUCACGAGUAUUAGAUGUCAAAUACAAACGAAAAAACGAUGCUUGAGAUGCAACACUCUUUAUCUUGACAAAGAUAAUUCCCCAACUGCAUGCUCCUUCCACGGCCACACAACUGGUACCAUAUUUCUUACCUCUAAUAUAGCUUUAGCAUUUGGCACCAACUUGCCAAUUGAGAUUCUUUCUUUUCGAUAUUUUCUUUCGGUACUUUACUAAUUAGUGUUUAACUGCAGGGGAGAAAGGGUUGUUUGCCCUGGCGCCACCACACCAAGGGAUUGAUGGGGAGUGGAGCGAUCACUCUGGGGUGAUCGUUUAUAAGUGGAAUGAAAAGGAUGAUAGGCCAAACACUGGAAGUGCUAACUGGAAGAAAAGAUGGAGCUGCUGUGCUGAGUAUGAUAAAAAUGCCCCGCCUUGUCGGACAGGGUGGCAUGUUUCUUACGAUGAUGGCUUCACAUUGUACUAGUCAGUGUUUGAGUUGAAUGUGGACGCCAGAUUGUAAAAUUCAUCUGAAGAAGAAACGAUGACAUGUUUUCUUACUAGUGUAGCAUCUUGCAUAUAUUUCUUGCUAUCUAUGCAUCUCAGAUUGAUGUUGGUUGAAUUGAAUAUGGAGAACAUCUCAUGUUUUGUUGCUACUACCUUGUAUGAUGUCAUGCAUCUCAUUGUGGUUUGUCACUGACUCGGAAAUAAGGUUUUAUUUUCUUACUUAAAAUUGUAAUUCGUUGUAUUAGCAAUGCUCCAUCGAUGCAACAGCUUUUGGUAUAUACCAAAUUCAAAAUGGCCUACUCUAAAAUUUACUCUGGAUUCAUUCACAUAUUAGUCAAUCUUGGAGUAAAUUUUUCCUUCAAUUGGUUGAGGUAAAUGCAUUGAUUCCUGGAAAACGAAAAGAGUCAAUACUUGAUUUCUUGGAUUUUGGGAGAUAAUUUGUUUGCUCCUCACAUCAAUUCACAAGUUCUCAACCUAAAUUGUUCUAAUUAAACUUUUGUCAGUUGCUAGUAACUCUGCUCCUACUGAACCAGUGUCAUACCUCCUCUCUCAUAUAAUGUAGUAACAAGAAGCAAUGAAACAAGAGCAAGAUACUAUCAUAUUUGCUGUAGUUUCAUCGAACCACUCACUCAGCCAUCGGGUGGUAAAGGUUACCGCACCAACACUGACCUGAUUGCUUCACUGCUCAUAUCUUAAUUUGUUGUGAUAAAAUGAAGAUCAUCUUCUAACACGAAAAGCAGAAACAUAAUAAUUUUUAAAAAAUGUAACAACAAAAUCUUGUUCAAAUUUUAUAAUUGAAGAUUAUUUAUAAUGGCAGAUUAAAAAGACUGAAUAUUACACAUAAACGAACAUAUCGAAUAAACUUCAUUUCACUCAAUUAAAUGACCACACCAAACUCUUACUGAACAGUCUUAAAAGAUUCAUGAACAUGCCUCAAGGUCUCUUCGUCUCGAUUCCACUCGGGCGUCGGUGCAUUAACAAAAUGUGCAUAAAGCUUAUUGUUAGCGCAAGUAACACUUAUCAAGCUAUGAGAACCAACACCAUCAAUCUCAUACACAUAAUAAAGCUGUCCUUUAUCAUCCUUCUUCUCCUCAGAAGCCACCUUAUCAGCGCUCGCUAGCAAGUCCUGCAAAUCCACAUCACUCAAAGCAAGAUUAUUCAACACAGCAUCUUUUGGCGCGAGCUGCCGAAACCCCGCCAAGAACGUCAAGUACUCUUUCUCAGUUCUCUUCUUAGGGUUAUAAAACUCACUGUCUGUUCCAUUUGUACCCUUCUCAACUUUCGACACCAAGCGCUCUUUCCAUCCAUCUGGGACAUCGUAAAUGUACUCAGCGGAGGCUUUCUUGUCGGAGUUGCCGCCGUAGCCGCCGUAGUUUGCUGCGCUGGCGGCUGUGCCGUAGUAGAUGUGGUAUGUUUGUGCAGGCUCAGCUAAUGAUGGCGAAGCUGUUAAGAGCGUGGUGGUUGCUAAAGUAGCCGUCAGUAGGGAAGUGAGAGAUUGUUUGGUGGGUGUGAAGAGAGAAGAGUGGGGUGGUUUUGUUGGGGUUUUGCAGGCGGUGGUUGUGGCGGACGAAGAGAUGACGGGGGACGACGGUGAGAAUAUCGCGGCCAUGGAAUGUGGGCUUAGAUUAGUGGAUGUGGUAGCUGCUGUUGGUUGAUUUUUAUGCGAUUUAUUUUAUUUAUUUAUUUAUUUUAAUUACCUGAUAAGAUGAUUAUUUUCCUUAUCCAAUCAAGCGGGGGUAAAGCUUCAGAUGUUAUGUUGUCGGCCCUUUAAAAGGCCUGCCUGCCUGCCUCGUCAUGAAUCUAGGGAUGAUAUUGGGCCAAGCCCGAGUCCGCCCAUAAUUUUUAAAAUUUUUUUAUUUUGAUAUUUAAAUAAUUUAAAUUUAAAAAAAAAAAGAACAUAACCUUCUCUAAUAUAUUACUUGUCAACAAAAUUCCUUUUUAUUACUUUUCAAGUUAGGAAGUCAUGCGUUGAAGGGGUUAAAUGAUAAUGUUAAGUUAUUUGAGAAUUGCGAUUCGUGAGAUUCAUUAAAUUUGUAUUAUGCCAAAUAAAAUGAAUGAAAUUGUUUUGAUUGGGUCACACGAGAAAUUUUUGACGUGCCAACUAAUUUAUUGAUCGGCGUGGUUAAUUGUCUUGGGUAAAGGUAAAGUAUGUAAUAUACGUGAUAUGAAUCUUUUAGAAAAGGAAUUUUAUUGCUGUUGUUAUUAGAUGAUGUCUCAUGAUGAUGAUGAUUAUUUAGCAUUAUUGCAACUAAAUUUCUUCCGUAUUUUUUUGUGUGGGGUUUCAACUCCAUAGCUAUCGUUUUCUACUUAAAAAUUUUACCAACAAGAUUAGCGGCCCCCCACAAUGCAGAGAUUCAUAUACCUUACAUAUAUAUUUAGUUUUCUGUUAUCAAAUUCAUGAUUGUGUUAUUUUUUUUGAAAAUUGUCCUUCAAAAUAAUUGUAUUCCACUUCCACAACAUAUUUUUUUCAGAUAAUUUUAUAGCAUUAUUACAUCUAAAUGGUACAUAAAGAUCAUAAGUUAGAUAUUACAUGUAAUCAAUAUAGUUACUCCUAAUGAGAAUCUAGCAAUGGUUACACUGGUCUGUAAAUGCAGCAACAAUACCCCCCAAGAAAAGGGGGAGAAAAAAAUAACUAAGAUUGUUUUUGUGUUUUGAGAGUGUGAGUUGUGUCACAUGUGUGAAUGUGCGAGGCGUGUGUGAUUGUUCUUUUUCUCCCUUAAGUUUUCAGGUCGGGACAAGUAAGGCCCAUACCCUGAUCUAAAUUAGUAUUUAAGCUAUAAAGCGACCCUUAACUCUUAAAUUAGGUCAAAAUAAGAAAAUUUUGGAUAAGAUCAAUCAGUCCAAAAAUCGAGUUUGAUCUUUUUGUCAUCCCUAAUCAUGAUUGCUUGAAAAGCAAAACUUUGUUAUAAUUUGGUCAGAAUUAUUUACAUGUAUUCAAGUUUUAGAUUAUUAUUUAUUUAUUUAUUAACACAAAUUAUCACUGCUCAGUACAAGAUUAGAUUAUGAGAUAAUUUUAAUUCAAAUAGUUCCUACACUAUGAAUAUCCAUUUUUGAGGGCUUUGAUUUUUUAACAACUUUCUUUAAGGAUAAUAGAGACUAAAAAAUAAAUUAGAUCUCAUUUCAAUAUUUCUGAGAGGUACAUGUACCAUAUUAAAAAAAAAUUGAAUAAGAGAUAAAAUGAGUCCCUAGCAUUGGGGCUAUAAACCCAAAAAUAGUACCUAUGAGUAAUCCAAUUCUCUUCUCAUAUACAUUUAUAUCUACCUGAGGUCCUGAGCUAAGACACGCUUCAUUCACAUGCACAUAUAUAUUAAAUUGCGUCAUAACAAACAUACCCAAAUAAUUUGUCAACAAAAUUGUUAUGAUAUAUAAUUUUAAAAAAUUAGCUUCAACCAAUGAGAAGUAUAAUUUUAAAAAAUUAGCUUCAACCAAUGAGAAUACUUCUCAAGUCCCAAAUUUGGUAAUACCAAAAUUCUGAAAUUCAUUCCGACCCUCACCGAAAACAAUAAUAAAUUUUGGCAUAAUUGCAAUAGAUAGGGGGCAGGGGCAAUAAUGUACUUGCAGUCCCAAAAAGACACAUCGACCGCCAAAAACCCUAGGGAUAGGGAGCGGGUACUCUCUUGUUUCUAACAUGAAUCAAUGAUGGAAAUUCACGUGCCCCCUUCAUUGUCGCUUCAAUUUCUCUCUCCCCAUUUUAGCUUUCCAUUAAAACAAUCAAUCAAUUGAAUGAUUUUAAGUUUCUAGGGUUUCAAUUGAUUCAUCGGAAGCAAAUAAAAAGGACUCGUUUCGAACACUUUAAUUUAUUUGCGUCUUUCACAAAUUCAAGAACGAAACGACAUGUCCAAGAGGUGAUCUUCUUCUUCAAUUCCUUUCAGUUUUGUUUAAUAUUGCUUUUAGAUCGUAGUUUCUGUUUAGCUAAUCUAAAAUUUAUUGCCUUUUUAUGCUUGGUUGCUGCGAAAAUAUACGCGUUUGAAGAAUGUUAUAAUUUAGCUAUUACUGAUUUAUGAAUUGACUUUGUAGCUAUUAAUGAUCUCAUUGCAUUAGGUAUCUGCCCCUUGUGGUCUUGCUUAUUUCUUGGUAUAAGGUACUGUUAUUGUCAUAAUAAUAUCUUGUGGCUCUUCGAUUCUUUCAGGGUCCUUUGCAAGUUCUUUGCUCAUGGAGCAUGUCUGAAAGGCGAGCAUUGUGAAUUUUCACAUGAUUGGAAGGAUCCACCAAAUAAUGUAAAAGUCUCUUGUUCUAUCACUUUUUUCACUUGGUUAUUGACGUUUGUUUAACUGAUUGCUUUUUUAAUCCAAAAAUUGUUUCUUAUGGUUUGUUAAUUGUUAUCUUAGAUAUGCACUUAUUAUCAGAAAGGGUUCUGCUCUUAUGCUAGUCGGUGCAGAUAUGAGCAUGUCAAACCUUCUCGGUCAGAGUCGGCUGCUUCAUCUUCCUCAUCAGUUUCUCAUCCUUCAAGAGCUACAUCAAGUGGGAUAACUAAAGUUCCAGGUGUCAUGCCAGAGCUAUCUGCACUGAGUAGACCUUUUCUUCCUCCUAAUAAGACAGCAUGGAAUCCGGAGUCUGUGUGCAAUGAUUCUUUAGAGAAUGAUGAGGUUGACGAGCCCAGGAAUCUAAAACCUGCUGACCGUUCUAUCUGUUCAUUUGCUGCUGCUGGUAAUUGUCCUCGUGGGGAAAAAUGUCCUCAUAUUCAUGGAGACACAUGCCCAACUUGUGGGAAGCAAUGCUUGCAUCCUUUCAGACCUGAAGAAAGAGAAGAGCAUAUGAAAUCUUGUGAGAAAAAGCAAAAGCACCUUGAAGCUCUAAGACGUAGCCAAGAAAUUGAAUGCAGUGUGUGUUUGGAUCGUGUAUUAUCAAAGCCUACGGCAGCUGAACGAAAAUUUGGGUUGCUAUCUGAAUGUGAUCAUCCAUUCUGUAUAUCCUGUAUCAGGAAUUGGCGUAGUAGUUCUCCAACCUCUGGAAUGGAUGUCAAUACUGCACUGAGGGCUUGUCCAAUUUGCCGGAAGCUAUCAUAUUUUGUAAUUCCAAGUGUCAUUUGGUAUUACACACCAGAAGAAAAACAGGAAAUUAUUGAUAGCUACAAGUCGAAACUCAAGUAAUUCUGGAAUCUAUUGACCCAUUGCUCAUCAUUGUUUUCUAAUUUAUUGUUAUGCAUUUUACACGAUUUUAGACAAUUUUUUUAAAAUUUUACAGCAGGGCAGUUUACAUAAUUAUAGACUUGAGGUGCUUUUCUUUUAGUCAUGGCUUUGGACAUAACCUUUUUUUUUUUUUGGUUUCGUUUCUUGCAGGUCAAUCGAUUGCAAGCACUUUAACUUUGGUAAUGGCAACUGCCCAUUUGGAACUAGUUGUUUCUACAAGGUAACUUAACUGUCAAUAUCAGUUGCAGCUAUGUAGUUAUUUAUUUUUACCCUUUUACCCCUUAGUAGUGUGAAGCUGGUUAUAAAUGCUUGUUGAAGGCAUGAAAUUUUGCAAGUUCUUUAUUAUUGCUAUGCUGUUUUCCUCCUCUUUUAUGUUCAAUGAGUGUCAAUUGGAUGUCUUUUUCGGUGCUUUAAUUUUUCUUUUUUUUUCCCCCCUGAUCAAAGAUCAGGGAAAUAAUGUUUUCGAAAUCUGUAUCAUGUGCUGUAGGUGAAUGCUAUGGUAGGGUUUUAGUCAUUUGGAUGAUCAUUUUGAACUCAACAACUGGGCUUUUGAGCCAAUAAAGCAUUUGUAUCAGUGAACAUGAGUUCAGCCCAUGACCUCAAUUUGGGAGUUCAGUGUGAAAACUUAUUUUGAAACAGGAGUUCUGGUCCCAGCUAUGUAUGGGAGUAACAUUGCUGUUGGAGAGUGGGAAAUGUCUAUAUACUGUAUGUCAGAUCCAUAUCCAUUUCCACGUCUGCUAUAUAAUAAGGGUGUGUUGUUAUCUUUUCAUGUGGCUUUAAAGAUCUUGUCUUGUGCUAUGUUUGUUUUGUUAUAAUUCAUGUCCAUGCGAAAUCUGUCAAGGUCAGUUAUUUAGCUCUUCAACAAUUGGUACAACGUUGCCAUGUUAAGAUUUGAAUUGGCCAAAAGAGCAUGAAAAUGAAAGAUGGGACUGAAAUGGAGCAAGUCUGUUACUCUUGAUUAGUUAUGGUAAUGUAGAAGGUGGAUGUUGGUAAUCUUAAGAAUUUUCUUGGAGUUAAAAGGCAACAAUAGUUUGCAGUGCUUUGGAGAAAGUGUUAUUACAAUAAUCAAAUUGAAAUACAUUUUAAAAUAUGUUGAAUCUCAUUGUUGAGGGUAGUGAAAUUCGUACCACCCUUAUGUCUGUGCCGCCAUCUCUCCCUCUCUUCUUGAGUUAUUGUAGUAAUCAGUUUAUGUUGCAUUUUUUUUUUCCUUGUAAUGAUUUUCAUUGAUAGUUGUAGAAUACGUGUAGAGCAUAAAUGUGCUGUUUGUUUUAUCAGUCGCAUCUAUUUGCUGCUGUUCCUUGAGGUUCUGUUGAAAUGGAUCACCUGAGUAAUGACUUCUCUGUUCCAAGUGUUGUGCGCCAUAUGUUCUUCCUUUUUUUUUUUCAUUUAUUUAUUUUCAUAGCUACUAGUAGCAGAGAACGUUGGCUUUAUGUCUCCAUUAAUAGAUAUAAUGUUGUGUUGUGUUCCAGCAUAUGGUCAAGCCUGGUUCUUACAUGUGGAAAUAUCACAGGCCACCUCCACGCAGGCCACCUCCAUUCAGGCCACCUCCAUCAAGAUCCAAUGUUGUGGAUAUGGAUUCAUUUAUUGAUGCGUUCGGGGACUUACUUGGGGAAGAUGAACCUGAUUUUUUUGAUGCUGAAAAUGAAGUUAGAAUGGCUUUGGAUGUGGAGAUGGCUUUGUUAUUAACGCAACUAGAUUUUGACUCAAGUGACUCGAGUGAUUAUGAGAGUUAUUUAGAUUAAGUUAUUAGAACUCGCUAUGAUAUCUCUAGUCCAUUCUGUGUUGGACAUUUGAGUUGUCGUUCAUCUUGGUGUUUUGAUAGUCCACUACAUUUUGCAUCAUGGAAUAAGAUGAAGCUUUUGGUUUGUUUCCUUUGAAUAUAUAAUGAAUUCUAGUUUAUUAUGGUUUGGAUUUCUCUCUCUAGUGGAAUUUAGUAGUAAGUUGAUGUUGGCAUUGUCUUGCCUGGAAAUUAUGUGUAUGAUUUUCUGACGCCUGUUGCUAACCAUUGAUUACUAUUCAUCUGUGAAGUUUUGGCUGUUAUUUGGUUGUGUUUAUUGACAUUCCAUCUUUGCAGCAUGCCUAUACAGAUGGUCGUUUGGAGGAAGUUGUUCUGCGUCACCUUGGGUCAGACGAUGGAAGCACUGUGAUAGCUAAAGAUAUCAGGUUCACUAAUUUAUCUCAAUUAACAGUUACUCUGGUUUAAAAGCUCAUUUUUCUUUUAUCUUUUUUGAAAUAUAUUUUCCUACUAAAUUUUUUCAGGUUGUCAGAGUUCCUUACUAAUAUGCACAUAAGGUGAAAAGAGUUGUUAAAGCAUUCCAGCGUAAGUUAUCAAGAAAUGAAUCCUCUUUUGUGUUUUCAACAACUAAUUAAGUGCAGUGGCAUCCUAGGCAUUUGGUAAUCAACAAUGGCAUUGACUACGGUCCAUCUAGAGAUAUCACUUACUCAUUUAAUUUAACAUUUAUGAGAAGUCUCCAGUUAUAGCAACCUGUCAUAUGCAUAGUUAUGGCUUGCUGACACCCUUUCUUCAUGUAUGCAGGAUAUCUAAUAAUGUCAAGAUAUAUUAGCAACAUUGAUGUGGAAGUCGUCCUACAUAGUCAGUGUCAUGCUCUUGUAAUCUUUUGAGGUAAGGUGCAGUUAUCUGAUAUUCUAUGGCUUUUUAACUUCUGGUAACACAAUCAUGAUAUUCUAUGUGUUCAAUUGUGGAGAUUGAAAGAAUCAGUUUUGAUGAAACUGUAUUUGGAAAGCAUUUAGAUUAACAAAAACUUGUUCAAUUAUGUAUGCCCUGCAAUUUCAUUCUUGUGAUUCUUGGAAUUCAGAAUAUUUGUGAUUGUUGACAAUUUGCACUCUCUAUUAGGUGUAUACUGAAGCAAUAACUGUUAUGGAUGCAUGUACAUUGUUUAUCACAUUCUCUGCUCUGUUCAGCUCGUGUAUGGUGCCAAAUGCAGGAUUGCUGGCCAGUUGCCUGAGGGGACCUUCAUGUGGAAAGCUUGAGCAUGCUGGAUUGUAUAACAAACUGCAGAUUAUAUGACCUUGAAUUACAUAAUAAUAGAAAAAACUGAUGGAUGGGUGAAUUUAUUCGAAUUUGAAAUAACAGAUGUGUCAGUUGCAGUGUUUCUUACCCACUUGGCUUCUUGUCCCCAAAAGUGAGAAAUUAGAGACUGUCUGCUUUCAGUAUUUGAUUGUUACAGUAAUAGAAUGUAAAUGCAUGGAGUGACGAAAUACUUUCUGGAGUCGUCAUUCAUUUUGCAGAGUGUUGUAUGCAAGUUUGAAAUCUAUAUGGAACUACACAAAAGCUUCUACUUGAAUUUUGUGUUCUUGUUUCAAAGCAUAUGUUAAAGAUUACACUGUUUUGCGCAUGCAAGGGAAAAAUUACACAAUUGUUUUGGCGUUUAUCAUUGGAAGUGGCUCGCUCGGUGACUGAAUUUUACAAUUUUCUUGAUGUCUGUGUUACCUCGAUGGAUAAUACAGGAAAAAUAAAUAUAUUCCUAAUUCCAUCAGAAAAAAUAAAAUAAAAAGAAUUUCUGCCGGUUGAAAAAGUAUUUUUCCGUUCACAUUAAAUUUUCGACCUUUCUUUGUCCGCUAGGAGAAACAACAAAAAAGGGGGAAAAAAAAGAAUAUUCUUCCAAAUGAUUAUUCUGUUUAAUAACAAGAGAUUUUUAAUAAACCAAUAAAAAAGAAAUUAAUAAAAUUCAAUUUGCUUUUUCCAAUUUCUUGUCCCACCACCACAAGGACAUAAAGAGGAGUUGAAUGAAAUGGAGUAAGAAUUUGACGAGUUCCUACACAUAUAUGUGUAUAUGUACACACAUGUCAUAUACGGUUUUGCUCAAACUGCAGGCGUGCAAUUUUUCUUGUUCAUUGAUUCAAAUUUCAGUUUCACUUCUUCAGCUCAUAUGUGAGCGCACAAACAGGAUUUGGAAGUUACCAACUUGUUUUUUUUUUUUUUUUGGGCCCCCUAAUUUGGUACAAUUCAACCGGUAUUUUACAAUUAAAAUUUGUAUUUAACCCUUACCAAAAAAAUAUAAUAAUAAAUUUUAGACGCAAUAAUGAGUUAGACAUGUCCUCUACUCUUCGUAAUUUUCUGUCAUAUGUCUAUGUAAAAUAUUAUUAUACGAUUGAGAUUUAAUUAAUUCUAUUUCCGUCUAAUAACUACCAAUUCUAUAUUUAUAAAAGGUUAGCAAAAAAGAACAAUUCAAUUUUAAUAAUAAUUCUCCUGAUUUUAAUCAGAGAAAAUAACAGGAUGAAAAAUUAAAACCCCUUUUUAAUUAAUUUAUCUUCAAUUUAUUAAAUAAUUAAUCAUCAACUUGUGGCUGCGGUGUUUGUAAACCCAAUUGCUUCUAAUAAAUCUCUGAUCUGCACUUAAAUAAUUCAACAACAUUUUUAUGAAGCCAAGUCCCAUUCACACCACAUGAAACUCCCAUAAGAAGUCAAGAACAAAGAGAAAGGAUCAGAGGAUAAACAAAUUAUAUAUAAAAUAAUAUAAAAUCUCUUUUAUUAUUCAACCGUAUAUAACAAAUAUGUAAGGAUGGCUAUAUACAAUAUAGUAUAACAACAACGAAUAAUAAUCAAUAGUGAAUACAAAUAAUAUUAGCCCCAAAAUCUCAAUAAUAAUAAUAAUAACAGCCCAUCAUCAACAAAAAGAAAAAGAAGAAGAAGAAGAAAAAAGCGAGUGUCUCAAAAACAGAGAGUACAAAAGGAGCCCGAAAAACAAUAUAAUGAAUAGAAACUCAAUGGUUGAGGAAAGCAAGAGCAGACAAGAAGAAAGAAGAGCAAAUGAGGGCCCCAGAAAGCCCCGUAGAAUAAGAAGCAGCUCCCUUGUCCAUGGAUGGUGCCGGCGCAGGUGCCGGUUCUUGAGCAGAAACAACAGCCACAGCAUAAACCGCCAUCACAAAAAUCAAAGCAACUCUAUUAAUCUUCUUCAUUGCUGCCAUUUUUAUGAAAUGCGAGGGGAAGAUGGGAAGGGUCUGGGCUUUUGCUUAGCGAGAUCGUUGAAGACGUCGAUGAUAAUCAACACGAUGAGUGAGAGGAAGCGGUGCUGAAGUCUAUUGUUUAUUGCUUAUUUAUAGGAGAGCAUUUGCGCGUGGGGGCCCCACAGGAACGUGGACAGCUGGCGGGGGAAGUGGCCACGUUGAGAGAACAGAACACAACAUAUGUGUUUUUUAUUUAGUCCGUUAAGAAAACGGCUAGUUACCCUUAACGUGGCGGUAGUUCAGACUUAAAGACUUUAAUACGUUGCUGCUGAUGAUGGUUUCUUGCUUCGUAGUUCGGCGAACGCUUCUUUUUUAUCCAACCGUUAACCUACCUUUCCCCUAACCCAUGGCUAGGUCAAACCCCACACAAAUAUCUUUCACUCGCGGCAGAAUGGGGAAAUUUACAUCAAUAAUCAUAAAAAUUUUAACUUUUUUUAUCUUAAACCCCCAAAUAAACUUCUAUUAAUAUUAGUCAUAAAAAAAUCUUUGAGACCAAAAUACCACUCUCUCUCAUCUCUCCCCCAACAAUCUCUCUUUCUCCCAUCUCUCCCAAACCGAAAAACCAAGCUUUGCAAACAAUCUCAAUUGGUUUAUUCUGGAAUAUGGGCAAUACCAGAAAAGACUGUUGUACUUGGUGGAGUUGAACCACCUGAGCGAAGCUUGUCGCGGAAAGGAAGCUCCAAUGAAGGAUCAGUACCUGAAGAGAGAAGAAACUUUACGCUGGCAGGUCCUAGAAGAGUUAGCUCUGAUGCUUGGGAUGCUAGAGAUAGACAAAAGGCUGUUACGAACUGGUCAUUCUCAUUUAAUCCGGGGCCUUUCAAUAUUAAAGAACAUGUUUUGAUCACCAUUUUCGCUAGCUGUGGAGCUAGUGGUGUUUAUGCUGUCCAUAUUAUUGCAAUGCUCAGGGCUUUCUAUAAAAGAAGUAUACAUCCGGUAGCGGCCUUGUUGCUUGCACUAACAACUCAGGUAUAUUUACAAUUUUACAUUAGUACUACAGUUACAAAACAUUCUAAAAGUUUCUCAACUUUGAUUUUUAUAUUUUGUUUUGGGCAAUUCAGAUGCUCGGUUAUGGGUGGGCUGGUAUAUUCAGAAGAUACCUCGUGGACUCUCCAUACAUGUGGUGGCCAGCAAACCUGGUUCAAGUUUCUCUAUUCAGGUGCUCAUUCAUCUUCCAAAUUCCACCAUUUUUUGAACUUGAAGCAACACGAUGCAUUUAUUCAAUCUGUUAAAAAAAAAAAUUGCAGGGCACUACAUGAAAAAGAGAACAGGCCAAAGGGAGGACUUACCAGGAUACAAUUCUUUUUCGUGGUGUUUGUAUCGUGUUUUGCUUAUUAUAUCGUCCCAGGAUACCUUUUCCCUUCCCUUACUGCUCUUUCUUUUGUUUGCUGGAUAUGGAAAAGAUCUGUCACAGCUCAACAGAUAGGUUCAGGACUGAGUGGCUUAGGCAUUGGUGCUAUUGGAAUCGACUAGUCUACGGUUUCUAGCUUUUUGGGAAGUCCAUUAGCGACACCAUUGUUUGCCAUUGUCAAUACUUUAGUUGGUUUUGCCUUAGUCAUGUACAUUCUUCUUCCCAUCUUUUACUGGAACAACGUAUACGAAGCCAAAUGAUUUCCCAUUUUCGGUGCUGCCACUUUACGUUGGCAGGUCCAAAAUUGUCUGUCGCACCAAGUUUCGUGCGAUAGGAGAGAAAGAAAGUUGUUUUUGGCUUGUAAAGAAAGUUGGCUUGUAAAGAAAGGUAAUUUAGGGAGAAAAACAUGUGUUUGGUUAAUGUUGAUAGAAAAAAAUUGAGAGGAUUAAUUGUGAAAAUAACAAAAAUUUUAUGAUUAUUUUCGAAAAUUUUCCAGAAAAAUGGGUUUUUUAACUUUUUUUUCUCCUCUUCUUUAUCAUCCUUUUUUUUAUUUUAAGAUUUGUUUUUUAAUUCGUUAAUUAUCCUCUUUUCUAUUUGUAUUUUUUUUCUUAUUAAUUACAUCGGAUCCCGACUUUUAUUACCUUCACGUCAAUUGAGCCGGUAAGCCCACCAACGUGACAAAGCUUGUUUUGGACUUUGGGUUAAUAAUAUGAGUUUCAAACCACGAAACUUGUUCUACAAUUGAGCUAUUAUAACCCUUUAAAAUUUCUUAUAGAACCCCGAUACUCUGCAUUGCUUUAUACUAUUUAGUUAUAGCUGGGCACAUAGAGAAAGUAGAAAUGAAGAAAUGAAGGGAUUAAGAUUUUCUUAUUAUUUCUUUCUCUCUUAUUUUUUACUUUCUCCUUAGUUUCUUUUUUAAUCUAGUUAAAAAAAAUAGCUUAAUUGUAAAUAAAAUAAAACUGACUUAAUUAUCAACAUCAAAAUUCAAAACUUAAUUUUGGCUACUCAUGUAACUAUGAGAGGUUAGAAGAGAAAAAGAGAAAAACAUGGAGAGGAUUCUUAUUUGAAAUGAGGAAGAUUUAUGUAAUGCCUGAUUUUUCUCUUCCAUGCUCUAAUUAGUCUCAAAUUAGGACAAAAAUCCUCUCAUAGUCUUUUUUCUUAUUUAUUAUUUAUUAGUCAAAAGAGGGGUCAAGAUUGAGUUUUAAAUUAUGAUAUUGAUCACUUUAUUUACAUUAUGUCAUCUUUUUUUACUAGAUUUUAAUAAUUAUAAAAGAUUGGGGGAAAAAACACAAAAAAAAAAUUCUAAUUUUUCAGCUUUUUGUCACACCAAGAGAUCGUUUAAAGUAAGCAAAAUGCUUGGUGUAGCGAAACAUGAAAGAAAAAUGAGAGAAAUAAAAAAGAAACAGGAAGAGAGAGUGAGUGAGUAGAGAAAGAAAAGACAAAUUUCUCUUAUCUUUCUCUACACUUAGCAUUACUUUUUAAGCAAUAAUCAUUAUACUAAAAAGUUAAUGUUGACUCUUGAGUAAACAGAACAAAUAUAAUUUAUUUUUCUUUAAUUGAAGUACAUCAAGACUUUCACUGAAGAACAUUGUAAAAGCAUCCAUUUUAGCCUUAGUUAAAGCCAAACCAACUUCAAUGCCACCCUUCACAUCUCUGCUCUCAGUAAAUGAAAUUGCUCUCAUCUUAUCUAUUGAAAUUUCCUCUAUUUUCUUAGGCUUUCCCCACCCAAAAUCAGUCUCAUAAUAAAACUCCAACUUUGGUGACCCAGCAACCAUAACAUGGAGCUUUGACUCAAAAAAACACCUCAUAAUCCGAAAUCCACUUCUCCGCCCCUCCUAAUAUUUCCCCAUCCGGCUCUGUAACCGUGCUUCCUAUCACAUUUGCUGCAACAACGAUCCCAUCUUCUCCUAACAAUUCAUCCCAAGUUGCCAAGCAACGUGCAAACCCUGAGCAAUUACCAAAAUGAGUUGUGGGAAUCCGAUAGUACAAAGUGGUUAUACCGCCCGCAUUGAACCCGAAGUAACACGGAUCCUCACCCAAUGAUUUACCUGGCUCAUUUACCUUUGCUUCUGCUUUUACAUAACAAACCCAAAUUAAAGAGCAAGUUAGUCCAUUGCUUGAUCUUCUCCAUAUUAUUCGGGCUAACAAAAAAGUUGCCCUAACCGUAUUUGAUAAAUCUAAAUUGGCCAUUCCAUUGCAUAUGACGACCAUUUCUUGUGAAGGUCUUCGCUUGCACCACUCAUUCAGGAAAAUUCCCUCCAGCCCAUUUGUGUCUUCUAUCGCCAAACAACCAAAUGGCUCGCUCAAGCAAGAAGAGUCUCUACAUACCGAGCCCCAUGUCUUUAAGAAAUUGCUAAAUGUUCUUCCAUCAUUAGAGAAAACUGUUAAGUUGCACGGCAAGCAAUAGAAGUUUAGCUUGCUUACAGGCACUAGUACUAGCCAAUUCAGGCACUAAUGAGUAAAAUUCAUUCACAUAACGUUGAUGAUUGCCCGAUAAACGAUUAAAACCACUGUUAGACUCAGCUAAAGUUAAUAAAACAUAGUCCCCAUGGGCGUAAAGAAUGUGAGACUUAGUGUAUCCUUGACCUUGCGGCAGUACUGUAAGGUUCGAAAGGGGACAGAUGUUGGAGAGUAAGAGCGGGUGAAUGCUUGAGCACUGGUAAAGACUAAAGUGUUUGACAAAAAUUGAGAGAUGGGAUAAGGAUUCUCGAAGAAGAAUAAUAGUUCGAAACAAUUGGAGAGAAUAUUCAAGGCCGCAAAGUUAAGUAACCUGCCUUGCUUGAUGAUAGUAUGUAUGGUUGCUUUUUCAUUAUUGAAUUACGAGCAGUAUACAACAGAGGAAAGUGGAAACUGCAAUACACAAAGCAGAAUAAAUGACAAAUACGAGUGAUGGAAGAGCCUAGCAGAGAUUUAACACUAAGACAUCUCUAAUUACACAAGAUUUUUGUCCCAAAAAAAUUAUUUACCCCGAAUGCUAACCCUAAAUUUACGCCCCGAAUGAUAAAACGUACCGUUUGGUUUCAUUUGUUUUUUAGAAACACAUAUUUUAUUUGUUUUCUUUCUUUCCACUUUCCUUUUACACUUUUCCUUUCCACUAUCCCUUUACACUUUCUUUCCACUGUCCCUUUACAUUUUCCUUUUCCUUAGCCCCGAAAAUGUAGAGGUUUAGCACAUUCACAAACCAAUUCCGAUUUUGCAGUUUCCAAAUGGAAUUUUGCACUUAUGAUUUUUCACUCUUUUCAGCGCUGCAAUGAAUUCUCUACUCCGCUUAAACGAAAGGAAUAUGUAAAGGAAAAGUAAAUGAAAUAAAUGCUGCACAAUUGAAAAAUAAUAAAUGAAAAAAGUAAACCAAACACGUUGAUUGACAAUCAAAUUAUACAAAACAAAUAAAAUACGUGCUUCUCAAAAGUAAAUAAAAAACAAAUGAAAUCAAACGGUAUAUUUUAUCAUUAGGGACGUAAAUUCGGGAUAGCAUUCAGGGUAAAUACCAGACUCUGUCCGUCCUAAUUAAAGUUGGGAUAUUUCCGAUGUUAAAAGAUUUGUAUCUCAUCAGCCAUUGAAAUAAUGACAACUAUAAUUAAUUACUGUCCCACGUUCACAUGAUGAUACGUGCCCAAUCCCUGUAAAAAAUAAAAGAAACAUCCUGUAAAUGUGAAUCACACAGCAGUAAGUGAAAUGAGAUAUCUUGUUUCCAUUGAUAAAGAGGACAAAUAAAUGUAAAUGAUAUAGGAGACAAUGAAUUAUUAAAGGACAUGUAGCCAUGUAGGACUUGAUUGAAGAGAAAGGUGAAGGCAUCAUUUGAACGUUAGGUAGAUCCACACCAACCUCGAUUUCACCUUCGAGAUCUCUACUUUCAGCAAGCGAAAUGGCCCUUAUUUUUAGUAUGAUUGGAAUUAGAAUAAUUAUAAUUUAAAAAUUAUAAUAAUAAAAUAUUUAAUAAAUAUUAAUUAUUAUAUUUUAAAAGUUAAAUUAAUUUAAUUUUAUAUUUAUAUAAUAAAAAAUUUAUUAUAUCUUUAUUAAUUUUAUUAAAAUUAUUAUUUAUUACUGCUGUACCGUACAUCCGCCUUGGCCGUACAGCAGUAUCAUCAUCAAAUAAUAUUUAGGGCAUGAAUUUCCAAAUUUGCCGUUUGACCGUUAGAAUAAAUGGUCAAAAUAACAUAUUUGGGUGUGGAGUGAGUAUUGUUGAAACAUUUGGGGUCUAAACAACGUUUUUAUCAAUUGAAGUCUCCUUGAUUUUCUUAGGCCUGCGCCACCCAAAAUCAGUCUUGUAAAGAUGGAACCCAACUUGGUGAUCGGGCAACGAAACCAUGGAUCAUCUAUUCAUGUUCACCCAACUUGCCCUUAUCCAACUUCAUGAUUGUGUUUCCAAUUGCAUUUGCUGCCGCAACUAUCCCAUCUUCACCCAACAACUCUCUCCUUGUACUCAUUGACCUACCGAACCCGAUACACCUACAGUUGCGGAAAUAUGUAGUGGGCACCGGAUGAUCGAAACGGAUUAUAAUUAUAAAGCCCGAACCCGAAGAAAAUCCGAUCCGUAGAUAUUUUUGACGUGUGGUAAUGUCACGUGCUUUUGCUUUUUAGUUUUUACCAAACAGACGCAUACAGAAGAACCCAAGUACUUACUCCGCCUGUUUCUUCAUCUUUCAUUGAGCAAUAAUCCAUGUUCCAUUGAUAUUUUCCAAGUCAAUUGAGCCUGCCACAAAAGUAGCUCUGGCCAUACUAGACUGUACAAGUCAAUGUCGGCUUAUUUUGCACCACUCCUUCAAAAAAGAUCUCUUCAAGGGCCAUAUCGUCUGUCAAUAAUCACUGCACGAUCAAACAAUGCAUGGCGAUGGCUUCAUUGAGAAAGAUGAGUGAUGGAAUGUCAAAGAAAGUUAAGGGGAUGGAGGUUGAUGAUGAGUUUGAUAGUUAGUGGAGAAGAACUUUGACCAUGGACAUCAUGGAGGGUUUGGCACGAUGAAAGACAGAAAUGCGGGUGACUCCUGAGUGCUGAACGCUCACUUCGAAAUUCAAACUGUAUAAUUCAGACGAACGUGCUGUAAGUCUCGUUACUAUAUCGCAGUGAUGCCAUAUGGCUUUCAGUUCACAACACGAGCUUGCACGCUGCACAUGUUGAUAUCUUUAUAUGGACUGAUUGACAAUCUAAUCCUCUCUCCAUCCAUAUGAUUUUUCAAAGAGUUAUAGACUAAUGUGCAAUGGCAAUCUAAUUCAUUCCCCAUUCAUUUUCUUUUCUUUUCUUUUUUUAAUUAUAAACUAAUCGCAAUCUAAUUAACAUUAACUCUCCACUUAUCUGAGGGGAAUUCAAAUUUCAAAUCUUUGGUUCCACUCAAGAAAUUUUACCAGCUGAAUUCACUUAUUGCAUCCUUAAAUAAUUAAUAUAAAUAACUAUGAGUACGAAUCUAUAAUCGAUAAUAUAACGUUUUUAUUUAUUACACACAUAAUUCUAUUACAGCGAACCAAAAAAUGAACCCACACGCAUAAUUCUAACGCCGAGCAGAUAUAUGACGUGACAUUGUCAAAUUUGUAACAUUUAAAUUAUAAUUAAGCAUGGAAGUUGGAAGAAUGAUAAUCGAUUAAUAGUUAGACAUUCCAUUGAUGAUCGAAGAGAAUAUCAAAGAAACAACUCCUCGGAGUCCUUCAAAACAUUAGCAAAUCCCUUUCCAAGUGAAAUAUCACAAAUUUCUUCAUAAGAAUAUUCCGGACUUGACUACACAUCAAAUCUAUUUUAUUUGUGAACAGGCAGAAUUUUAUUUUAAUUUAUUUUUUUAAUUAUUUUAUAGAAUCUAGUUUAUCAAAGGAAGAAACAAUUAGAUAAACAUCACAUUAUUUUUCAAAUAGGUAGAAAUUUGUCCAAAAAUAUGCAUGCUUUGCUAUCUGAUAAUUUCAUUGUCUUUCAUGGUUUCAGUUUCCGUUAUAUGUAUAAACAUAAGCUAUAAUUUUGCAACGAAAAUUAAAUUGGGAUUUUACGAGAGAAGAUAGGGAUUUUUUUUUCCAUUUUUAAUUUUAAUUUUUUUUUUAAAGGGCUGUGCCAUCCAGCUGCAUGGAUUGGUGGCUCAGCCCUGAAAGUUCACGGAAAAUCUCCCAUAUUUGUUUUAGAAAAAGAUGUAUAUCUAAUAGCUAACACAUUAAUAUCUCAUUUUUACGUAAUUCAUAAUUCCUUGUGAGAUAGUGGAAGACUGGAAGUUAUAGGAAAACUAAAGGUUGCUAAUGAGAGAUAGUGGAGAGACUAAGAGAUAUAUGUUAUGAACAUCUACAUUUAUUUUAAUAAAUUCAUAACACUCCCCAUUGGAUGUUCAUUACAAAGAAUAUGUCUCAUUAAAAUAUUUACAUAAUUACUAUUGUGUAAUAACAAUCAAAUUAAUUAUGAGAAGAUGAAAAACCAAAUCUAAAAGAAAAUUUCUCUAUUUAUUAGAUAAUAGAUAAUAUACAAAGAUAAGAAAUGAUAAUGCCAUAUCACCUUCUCAAGUCGCAGCUUUAUAUAUAUAUAUAUAAAUAUAUAGAUAUAAUAUCUUCACCAACACCAGAGUUCGCACACAUUUGAGGUUCAAAAGAAUGGCUUCAAUCAAGGGUUCUUUAAUAGCAGCAGCUGUUUUGCCUCUUGCAAUGCUGUUGCCAAAACUUAUGGUUCACGCUUUUGACGAUGCGAUAGCUCCUUCACCAGCCAUGGCUACCGGAUCAGCUUUUGCUUCUUCAGCUUCGGUUUAUGUCAUUGCGACUUCUGCUCUGUUUUAUGUUUGUGGUCUUCUCUUACACUAGGCUUCAUCCGUACGUAUGUAGCUAGCUAGAAUGCCCGUUUAGUUAAUGAAUAUAUAAGUGUCGUCGUUUUCUCUGAUAAUGCAGACGAGUUGUCUUUAAAUUUCUCAAAAUGUGAACGCACUUCCAACCCAUGGCAUGAACCCAACCAUUUUUCCUACUUUCUUUUCCGAAAAUUGGAAGGUAACCCAACCUUGAUUUUCAGACGGAGAAACAUGUAAUGCAUAAUUCGCAAUUUUCUGAUGAAACAUGUCAUAACGAGUGCACACACUGAUGACUGAUGCGAUGCACAUGCACUACACUUUAACCUGCUAAUGGGAUUGUGUAUAAUAGUUAAUGACUUGAAUGGUUUAAUAAUGGCGGGCUUUGUGUUUUUGGUUCUAAAUGGUCAAUUAUCCUCCACCUUUGUAGGUAAGGUAAGAAUAAGAAGCAAUUUCUUUUUCAAACACCAUACUAUUUGACCCAAUUACAUCACAGGAAAAUCCAGUACAUGCUAAGAAACAUCGCACAAAAUUUCAUCCAAAAGAAUAUAAAAUCUUUCCAUAUAAUCCCACCAAACAUUUACACACCCAGCAGAUUCCAAAUUCCAUAAGAUCACAAAAGCAAAUCCCAGCAUUUUAUGUUCAGUAAGUAAAAACCUAAAUAAUUCUAUGGAGCAUAAAAUACAGCUUCGAGCACCGUCAUAGUGAAAUUAAAAAUUAAAAUCAAAAUCAACUUGGUUUAAGAAAAUUCCAAAUCGAUUUUUAUUAUCACUAAACCCGAAAACACAAAGUCCAAUUGAAUCUUAUCUAGCCAACAAAUGGAACAACAAUCCAGAUGACAAACCUGCAAUACAAAGCAAACUAACCCCGUGUACCCGAGCAAAUAGAGCAUUCAAAUUCUUAACAACCUGAAGUGUCAAAGUAAGAAUCUGCAAUCUACCUUGUUCCUCCAUCUUCUUGAAGAAGUACAUUGGCUUCAAAGAUCGCCUCAGUAUAAGCGCCAAAGCAAAUGGAAAUCCAAAAGCCACGACGUUCUGCAUUGAGACCUCUAUUAUGGGUGAUGCUUGCGUAAUGUAUGUAAUCCAAGCUCCUAUUCCUAAUUGGAACAGACCCAGAAGGGCAACGGUUCUGCUGAGACUGUAAAUUUUCUUCAUCAUUUCUUCAAGCACCUGUCUGGUUUCUUUAGCUAAAGCUGAUAAAUCACGCUCUACUGUUGGUCCUUCAAUUUCUUGGUGCUUGAAAUUAGGGUUUUGACUGGGGUACUCACUCGGGCUUUGACCUUGCUGCGGCUCCUCAGAGAAAAAUCUGGGUUUCGACUGUGAUCUUGUAUAAUUCAUGGGGUUGGGGCUUUGUAGUUGAUGAUGCAAAAAGUCGUGAUUUUUAUUGGCAGUCGAGUAUGAAUAUGACCUAAUAAUGAGACCCAGAUGGGGAUUUAUAGGUUUUGGAUUUAAAGGCGUUUGAGGGACCAAACAGGUAGGGGGAUCUGAUAAGGGUGAAGCUGAAACGAAAUAUAAGAUUUUGGAGUUAGGGUCUAAGGGAUUUUGUUGUGAGAAAAUUGAAUUCGAGGAGGAUCUAGGGUUAGGAUUACGGUUAUGAGUUAUGAAAGAAGCGCACGACAAAUAAGAUGAAGAGGGUUUGAAGAGUCUGGAGGAAAAUCUACGGGAAGCGAUGGCGGCCAUUCUGAGAUUUUAGCUUUCUACAAAAACACACGGGAAGAUGGUGGGCGCAUCAGAGAUUUAAACAGGGGAUCCCAUCACAUAAAACACAUGUGAUCGAAUAGAAGGCCGCAGUCAGUCUCAGUCAAUGCCCCUGAAUUAAAAUUACGAUCCUUUAGAUCUCUUUCCUACAAUUCCCCAAUAUCGUAAUUUUUUUUUCUACGACUGUUGAUCGUAUAUGCUGUAUUUGUUUGGAGAAUCAUAUCAUUUUUAGGGAUAGGCUAUAGUGUAAUUGUGGUACCGUGUCACAGUUGCACCAGUUGUUGGAUCCACUCAAAUGAGUGGGGUCUACUUGAAUAAGUAGAAAUCCAACAGUUGGGUGCAACUGUGGCACGGUACCACAGUUGCACUACAAUUUUAUUCUCAUUUUUAUUAUAUUUUUAUCUAUUUCAUUUUUAUUUUGCCAAAAACAAAUUACAAACUACGUAUACCAUGUGCGACGGUAUAAUAUUAAUGAUUAAUGAAUGUUGCAACUAAGGAUGGCAAUUGUACCCGCAAACCCGCAAACCUGCCCAAACCCACCCGCCAAAACCCGCCCGUUGUGGGUAAUUUUACCCGUUGCGGGCGGGUUUAGUAUUAUAAAUUAAAACUCGCACAUGGAUGCGGGUGGGUUUGGUAUUAACCUUAUAUCCGGUGGAUACCCGCAUGGAUAUCCACCAAACCCGCAAUAAUUUUUUUCAAAUAUUUUUAAUUUAAUUUAAAUAUAAAAAUAUAUAAAGAAAAUAAUGUAAUUAAUCAAAUUACCAAAUAGCCAAAGAUACUAGUUUGUGUUUUUUAAAUGGAUUUGUGUAAUUUAUACUUAAAUUUGAGAAUUUGUGUUGAAUUGAUGUAGAAAUUUUAAUUUUUCAUUUACAUUAUUUAAAUAUAAAAUUAAGUAUGUUAUAUGGAAUUUGAGGUUAUUAUUAUAAAUUUAUAUAUUAAACAUUUGUGAUUUUAAAUACGGAAACCCGCAAAAAAUCCGCCGGAUACCAUUGCGGGUUUGGUAAUUGUUAAAACCUGCUGCGGGUGGAUUUUUGUACAAAAAUUAAAACCCGCUGCGGUUUGCGGGUGGGUUUGGUAAUUUAAAUUUUAUGCGGGUUUGGAUUUAGUAAUGACAAACUCGCUGCAGGCGCUGCCCAUUGCCAUCCCUAGUUGCAACUCAUUGCUUCUUUGGUUAUCGGCAUCAUUUACUCUUUAUAUUACCACUCUGAUGUUUUAUUUUCUCUGAAUUGUUCGAUCAACUUGAAGCUCUUCCAAGUUCAGUACCGGCAAUACCGAUUGACUGUUGUCGAAUAUGAUUUCUUUUUCCACAUCGAUUUUUUUUUUUAAUUUUAUUUUUAUGGAGGCUUCUUUAAAAAUUAUAAUCAAGUUUUCACUUCACAAGAAGACAAAAAAUAUUAGGUAAAUUUCAUUCGCAAAUAAUGCAAUUGCUGCAAUCCGUGGAACGUUCAUUAUGUCUGAAACCCGAAACUAGAGUUCCCUCCUGUAACAAUUAUACACUGGAUCUUUCAAAAUCACACACCAAAUUACAGAAAGGUAAAAACUUUAAAAAAAAAAAAAGACCGUAAACAUUUUUCGUAACAAAAACUGAUACUUAUAAAAGCAGUCUCAAAAUUAUAAGCAGUAAGAAGUACGUACGAAGAGGAAAUAACCACAAAAGGUUUUUCUUCGAAUCUUUUUUCCCAUCAAUAGUUUCUUCUGCUUCUCCCUUUUUUCUCAUUAAACAAUAUAUAAGCGCAUAUUUAAAGAAAAAAAAAAUCAUAAUGAUUUGAUGCCUCAAAACUAGAACCAACUACUCAUCCUCUGCAUUCACAAAUUUCAAUGCAUAUAUAUAUAUAACUGGGGAGCAGGAAAACUUGCCAAACAAAGAAAUAAUUCCGAUUCUAGUCCUCUUAUUGCCACCCACUCACAGUGAAUCAGAGCAAAACCUUCAAUCACCCCCUUCAUUUCUCUAACAUUCUCUUUUUCUCACCAUAAGAACCAAAAAAUCGUAAUUCUCAUAACCAUCCAUUCCCAGGCUCCACACAUCUUCAGACUUUUUCCCCCCCUUUUCAACUCUGGAAGAUGUCCUACACGUACAUAAAGUCAUGUUCAUUCUUAUAACCAUGGAAUUUGCUUGAUUCAUUGUUCCAGCUGUCCGUAUGCAGACAUUUACGGAAUAUGGAGCAAUCAUUGAGCAGCUAUUUAGUAGACAACGUUAACUCUAGAACUAAGUGGUACCCGAACUCCCAUAAGUUUUAAGCUCUGGUCUGAUGUAGGUGAGGCUACGAGCAGUGGGAGAAGGAACACUGUUCCCAGGAACUUGGGCACCACUAUCAGAUGGAGAGGCCUGAGCAUCCCGCUUCCACUGCAAACUUCUGGCACCAGGUUUAAUAGGAAGAUGAGGUCUAAAUGCCCCAUGAAUGCCUCUAGGGAAAGGAGCUCGGGUAAACCUAGCUGCAGUAUAUGGAGAACCCCGUGCACCCCGGCCCCAAGUCAUGAGGGGAGCAGUGUCCUGAUGAGCAGCACUUCUCUUCACAACCUACAGGAAACACCAAUUACAAAAGAUAGUUGAGGCUCAGCAGCGUCAUCGCAUUUUAAAGCAACCAAUUCAAAAGUUGCAGAAAAGGGGCAAAUAUAUAAAAUUAAGUGACUCAAGCCUACUGCCAUGUGGCCCCUAGGGUGUAGCUUGGCUAGCCCUCAAGGCGCUUUGUGCUCGUAAUCUCCUGAGUUUGGGUAAUAAUAGGGGUAAGGGUUGGUGUUUACAGGGUGGGGUUUCUCAUCCCCCAUCCAAAUCAUAAAAAUGCCUAAUGUAAUGCCAUGUGCACGUUCAAAGUGGAAUGAGAAAACAUUAAUACUGUCUUGGCAUAAUGCAUAUACAAAAGAUACAAUUGGACCAAAUAACGUCAAUUUUAAAUGAUAUUAUUUAACAGUUUCAACAACUUCAUGUAUUCCCCAAACUCCACAGGUAAGGUACUUCUUCUAGCAUAAAAAAAAAACUAACGAAACUCUAGAUAUCUGCAAGAUUCUAACACGUGUCCCCAAUGCAAAAAUGAUACAAUACAGCUAGAAAACUUGGCAGUUUCCUCAAUAUUUCUAUUCUAAGUCAUCCCAAAAUUUAGCUAAAAUUCAAUAAAUAAGUGUAGAAGGAUAAACUUAGAUGGUCAAAGCCGUGAACUUACUUAUGGUAGAUUCUAAGCAAGAUCCAAGUGAAAAUUAUUAUUAAUUGUUAUAUAUAAUAGAAGGGAUACAACACAUGCCAAAAUAGGUUCACAAUCUACAGGACUCCAUAUUAUUGCUAGUUUAUCAUUUUUCAUUAAAGGAUUUGCUAAUAUUUGACACAGAAAAUUUUAAGAGACUCAGAUACAAUUGCUGCUUUAUUCAUACUUCAUUAAAAGGUAGCCUAAUAUUUAAAAUUGAAAAUUCACUAGUUAGGGGACGCCACUUUGAUACCCCAUAAAAUUUCCCUACCAUUUCAGAAUUAGCAUUUGGUUCUUGAGCACACCCCAUGAGGCACUGAAAGCAAUAGUACUUCAGGACCACCCCAACAUAAAUCAUUAACUAUUAAGCAACAACCAAUCAGCGAAUUCAACACCACAGUGCUAUUGAGACUAUUCUAGCCAAUGUGAACAAUUAAAAAACUGUUACACUUAUCAGAAAAUUUUCACUGCCCAUUCAAAAAUCCAGGGAUUUCAUGAGCACACACCCCCACCUUCCCCCACCCCCUAUGUUUCAUAGAAGGAAAACUAUCCUCAAAAAUUAUUCAGAAAAUCAAAUCACCAGGUAUCUAAAUACCUUCAAAAUCCGAGACAUAAAGGAGGUUCCAUCCAGACUUAAUGCAUUGUCUGCCGCCUCUUUUCUCAUGAACUCCACAUAAGCUGACCUGGUAAAAUAUCUUGAUUUAGUACCAGUAAAUGUCUUAUCAUUAGAUUGAAAGAAGACUUUUACCCAAGCAAGUGAAAGACCAUCCUUACCCUUUUGGUUGCCCUGUUGCAGCAUCAGUGACUAUAACCACUUUCAGAACCUCCCCAAACUUAUUAAAAUGACGUGAAAGACUAUCCUUGGUAGCUGCAAAAUGAACCUGUAGAAGAAUAAACAAAAGCCACUCAAAAAGAGAGACCCAAAAAAUUCUUUUUUUUUUAACAUACAAGGUCAGGAGUGUAAGCUAGUACAUUGCUGAUGAAAAUGGUUCGAGAAUCAGCGUCCUCUUGAGGACGACCAGCAGUAUAUAAACCUGCAAAAACCAUCCCCCCAAAAAAAAAAGUUCAUAUCAUGGGAAACGCAGAACAAAGAUGAGCAAAAUGAAGUCACAAUGGAAUAAAAAGAAUCAAAGAACUGAAAAUAAGGGGGAGGGGGCUAAAGAGAUCACAGACAUGAGUGACGCGAAAAUAAUAACAAAGAUAACAACAAAAUUGCAAAUUUGCAAUAUGCCUAGUAAUCAUCUAACAAAAACAGCACGAGCUUAAAACUCACCAGAAACAGAUGGCAGUGCCUUUUCAGAUUCUUUAUGAAUACGUACGGUAGGUUUAGCCUGUCAACAAUAGCAGUGCAAAAAGAUUGUCAGGAAAUAAAUAUAACUAAUAAAGAAAAUUGAUCAGUAUGACACAAGGAAAAUUACAAGCAACUAAAGACCUUGCAAUGCGAACAUGAGUAAGAGCAUCUUACAUUUCCAUUACCAACUGUAACAAGGUUGCUAUUCUCCUUCAUUAGUUGCAAGCCAGGUUUUCCAUUACGUGCCUCAAUCUCCUGAAUAGAUUUUCGACCAUCAGCUUCUGGAACUCUCAACUCCUGAUGAGGUUUCCAAGUAUUUACAUUCGCAGAAAUCUUGACCAUCUUAUGAGAAGCACUUACCACCGCAACAGGCUGAUCCUGAUCUUUGUUCUGCGUUAAUUGCAUUUCAUAAUCAGCAUUUUUGGCUACAUUGUAAUGCAUCAUCAUAAAAUCACCCUUGCUUGCAUCAGAUGAUCCAGAUUGACAAACAUCUGUGACUCUAUGGCCCGUAACAUUGAUAUCAUCGUACCCUUCAUUGUCAGACAUAGAGUCAAAGGCCAAUGCCGGUUCAUUUUCUAACAUUGUCAUGUUCCCAUCAUGUUGUCUACUAUAGUCACAUCUAUCAUAAUAUGCUGAACCGGUUUGCUCCUGAAUUCGGCUAAAGCUUCCAUAUUCAUCAUCUUCAACAACAGCUUCUCCGAAUUCUGGUGGUUCGUCAGCCAUAUCUGAUACAUCCAUACCACGACCAAGUCGAUCAAACACACUUCCCCCAGAUUUAAUCCUUUUUACAUCUUCAGCAGCUUCUGCCACAGCUUUAAUGACAGUUGCCAAAGGAUUUGGAACUGUUGCAACUGACCGAAUCCUCCGAGGACGUUCAAUCGCUUCUGAUUCUCCAGUAGAUGUUGACACCACAGAACGAAGGCGCUUCAGUGAAGGUUCUUUUCCUGAAUUAGAUGGCCUUGUAGUUCCCACCGCAUCUCGAACUGCAAACUGAAGUAACCGUCGGGGAGCAUCAAUGGUUGAUUGACCCACUUCCCUCUGUCAUGAAGUUCAUUAAUGGAUUAGAAAGAAAUCAGCCUUGAUCAGAUGAAACUGUAUACCAAUGCUGUAAGAGUACAGCUAAAAUCCUCAAAAGAAGCUCAUAGCAUCAGAACAACCAAUAUGCCCUCAAAAAUUAUAAUAUUCAAGAAUUACAAUCUUACAAAGAUUUCUACUAUGAGAUAUCCAACAUCAUUAAAAUUAACCCCAAGCCACAUAACCAGCCACGAAGUCUGAAUCCAAAAUGAUAAUAUGUUUCUAUAAACAUUUCAGCAUCCACACAACAAAUAAAAAUAAAAGAAAAAUAUUAUAAAACUACAUCUUGCUUUGAAUUGAUUAUGUAGAGUAGAGACAAAAGUAACACAUUGGUUACUCUAACAUACAAAGUAGAGGAGAUCAAUUGAUCAACAGAAGGAACAGAAACAUCCAAACCUUUGAGUGCUGCCGCUCCUCAUGCCUGCUCCUUUUCUUUUGGAAUUUUUGUCGAGGAGGCGAAGGAGAGUCUCUGGCACGAGUGACUAUGCGAUGUGUUUUUUCCUCAAAAUGGGUAUUCUCAGCCUCAAAUCUCCGGAGAGGUGGGGGUGGUUCAUCCAAAUCCCUCACUAAUCCUUUCCAUUCCCUAUUGUGUCGACUCCUCGAUAAUUUAUUAGACUUUCCUCUUUCGGACUCUGAAUCCAGGAGGGAAGAAUCAAUCUUCCCAGCAUGGUCCCCCAAUGUAGGUUUUAUUUCUGAUGCUUCAUGCCUCUGAGAUUCCUCGGGCUGAACAUACAAAUUUAAAUUUGAGUCCAGAUGAUCCCAUAACCUGUUCAAAGUAAAUAUAUAAACCACUUUCAGAGACGAACAUGAAUUAAAAGAUAAUAGCUGACAAACUAAUUUCUAUAAGCUCAGGUUCUCCAAUUAAAUUAACAUAUAAAUCGAAUUACCAAGAUACGAAAGAAGUGCUGUCAUCCCCCAAAAACACAUUCAACUCAUUCCUUGCUUCCUCCUUGCGCCUGCCAUUUCUCAGUAAAACUAUAACGUAUUCCUGCCAAUGCGAAUCAAGAAAUAAGGGGGGAAAAAAUUCUAGCAUCGAUAAAAUCAAAAUACUUAAAUCCCCCAUAUUAAAGAAAUACUUCAAACCCAAGAUCUUCAUAUUUGAGAUAUGAAGGCAAUAUCAUGUGAUAAAUUGGCAUGACCCAACCAUGAAAGCGACUGAAAGCAUCGAAAAAUCACAAACACAUUAUACAUAUAGGGAACAGAGGAUAAACAUCAUUUAAUUAUAACUUAUCCUAGGAUGGUAGAAUGCGGGUAUCAAAGAUUCAUAUAACUUAUCCGCUCUCCAGGCUACUACAGCCCAACCAUCACUCCAAUAUUGUGCCAGCAAGAGAGAAAGCCCGAAUCUAACAACCCAAAAAGCAACAUAACACCUUCCGAGUAUGAAUCUUAACCUGCAAGCUAUCUGACUCAAAUGGAAAACAAUAACUAAAGACCAAAACAAGUAGAUUUUAUGAAACAAAAAUCCGUUAUAUGAACCUAUUUGAUAACGUACUCAAAUACUCCAGAAAAAAAUUUCAAAUAUCAGUGUUAACAGUCGCCACAUGAUUGAAAUACCUACACAAGUUCUGAUUCCCACCAAUAAAUUUAGGCGGAGAUUUAAACAUAUAGAGCUUUGAGGCUUUGCUAGGAUUUAACUUCAAAUUCAUUCUUCAUCACCCCAUUCCCACAAGGUCACAGCAUUUUCCAUACACUCAAGAACAAAUAGGCAAAUACUCAGCAACCAAUAUCAAAGAACAGCAAUGUCAUCUCAUUCUCCACAGCCAACAGCUGCCAUUUAAAACCUCAAACCUUACAAAUGACUGAAACUGAAAAAACUCGUGGAACCUGAAAAGCAGGUAACACAAACAUUCCCUCUACCGACAGGACUAUCAACUUCACUAUUUCAACCUUAUGCACUCAAUUCAAAUUCAACAGCAGAACUUCCAGUUCUUGGAAAACCCCGUGAGUCUCCAAAUUUCAAAAUUUCUAGAAAAUAUCAUCCGGAUGAAUCUAACCCCAGUAAUACAAAUAAUACCCUAAAAAUUUAUUUUCUAGACAAGAAAUUAAUUGCAAGCGAUAUAGAAAUACACAAUGCAACAAUUCAAUCGAUUUCAACAACAUCAAUAUAAUUCGACAAAAAAUAAAAACGAACCACGAGUGUAUCGUCAGUGUAAUCGCCCAUAAAUUCUUUGAGUUUAUCUUUGACUCCGUCUCUCAACUUCGCCACUCCAUCGGCGCUGAAAUUAACCUUAAAUGUCCGAUCAUCCACGCUUCCCAUUGUUUUCCUUUUUUUUCGGUGUUUCAAAACCCUAACUAAUUGAAACUCAAACUAACAAACAGACACCAUAAGAGAUGAUUGCAUAAUAAUGAUUGGUAUAUUCGCUUCACAAAUGGUCGAUCCUCGGCAAAAACCCUAAUUGCAAAUUCUGAAUGCGAGUGAGAGUGUUCGGACGCCUAGUGCCUUGACGGAAACAAAUCGUCGAUUAACAACAGUUCGGGCUUCGUUUAGUUGGUUGGGUUUUUUUUUUUUUUCAAUUUUUUUUUUCGGGUUCCAUGGAAAAAUAAAAGCCCCAGGAUUUUGUUUGUCCGCGGGGGAAGUAUAGGCUACGAGAGGGGGAUUUGGAUUUUGAGCUUUAUUUUAUUUGUGCAUUUAUUAUGAACCGACUUGAAACUUAAAUGGCUUUCCUGACUUCUUUGCAUUUUUCGUUUUUCAAUAAUUACCCUAGUCACAGAUUUUUAUUUAGCUAUAUAUAUAUAUAUAUAUAUAUUGGGAGUUUUAACGGCAUAAUGUUUUUCUUAAUAAAUAUGCUUUUGUGGGUUUUUAAUACAAAAUAUUCUCUUAUUUAAUUAAUUAGAUUAAAAUCAACAGCAAACCUUGAGUUGGAUUUUUGAAUUUUAGAUAAAUAUAAAGUAGAUUAUACCGAAUAUUGUGCUAUAGAUAAUAUUUUAUUUUAAAUUUAAAAAAUAAUUAGGUGGGAUUAGAGAGUAUUAGUUGAGAAGUAAUGUUAGGUAGUCCAACAUUAAGUUUGUAAUUUAAAUCUUAACUUAUGUGCUAUUCAUCUAUUAAAUACUAGUUAAGUAAAUUUAUAUUAUGAAAUUCAUUAUUAGUGACACAUAAUAUUAGAAUUUAAGUUAUGACUCAAAUAUAUACUGUUAACUAGGAGUUUAAAAAAAUAUAAUACAUAAAAAUGUAAUAUUUUUCAAUUGAUAUGAUGCCUAUGAUUCAUAAAUAUUAUUUAGAAAAAUAAGGUUGGCGAUCAGUACGAGGCAUGGUAGCAUAUUUAUCUACAAUGCAGAGAUAAGUUGAUAACACUACAAUAAAC
rnacentral:lncRNA from 1 species